rnacentral:rRNA from 1 species
CUGGCGUGCUAUACUGCAGUAGAACGCUGAAGAGAGGAGCUUGCUCUUCUUGGAUGAGUUGCGAACGGGUGAGUAACGCGUAGGUAACCUGCCUUGUAGCGGGGGAUAACUAUUGGAAACGAUAGCUAAUACCGCAUAACAAUGGAUGACACAUGUCAUUUAUUUGAAAGGGGCAAUUGCUCCACUACAAGAUGGACCUGCGUUGUAUUAGCUAGUAGGUGAGGUAAUGGCUCACCUAGGCGACGAUACAUAGCCGACCUGAGAGGGUGAUCGGCCACACUGGGACUGAGACACGGCCCAGACUCCUACGGGAGGCAGCAGUAGGGAAUCUUCGGCAAUGGGGGCAACCCUGACCGAGCAACGCCGCGUGAGUGAAGAAGGUUUUCGGAUCGUAAAGCUCUGUUGUAAGUCAAGAACGGGUGUGAGAGUGGAAAGUUCACACUGUGACGGUAGCUUACCAGAAAGGGACGGCUAACUACGUGCCAGCAGCCGCGGUAAUACGUAGGUCCCGAGCGUUGUCCGGAUUUAUUGGGCGUAAAGCGAGCGCAGGCGGUUUGAUAAGUCUGAAGUUAAAGGCUGUGGCUCAACCAUAGUUCGCUUUGGAAACUGUCAAACUUGAGUGCAGAAGGGGAGAGUGGAAUUCCAUGUGUAGCGGUGAAAUGCGUAGAUAUAUGGAGGAACACCGGUGGCGAAAGCGGCUCUCUGGUCUGUAACUGACGCUGAGGCUCGAAAGCGUGGGGAGCGAACAGGAUUAGAUACCCUGGUAGUCCACGCCGUAAACGAUGAGUGCUAGGUGUUGGAUCCUUUCCGGGAUUCAGUGCCGCAGCUAACGCAUUAAGCACUCCGCCUGGGGAGUACGACCGCAAGGUUGAAACUCAAAGGAAUUGACGGGGGCCCGCACAAGCGGUGGAGCAUGUGGUUUAAUUCGAAGCAACGCGAAGAACCUUACCAGGUCUUGACAUCCCGAUGCUAUUUCUAGAGAUAGAAAGUUACUUCGGUACAUCGGUGACAGGUGGUGCAUGGUUGUCGUCAGCUCGUGUCGUGAGAUGUUGGGUUAAGUCCCGCAACGAGCGCAACCCCUAUUGUUAGUUGCCAUCAUUCAGUUGGGCACUCUAGCGAGACUGCCGGUAAUAAACCGGAGGAAGGUGGGGAUGACGUCAAAUCAUCAUGCCCCUUAUGACCUGGGCUACACACGUGCUACAAUGGUUGGUACAACGAGUUGCGAGUCGGUGACGGCGAGCUAAUCUCUUAAAGCCAAUCUCAGUUCGGAUUGUAGGCUGCAACUCGCCUACAUGAAGUCGGAAUCGCUAGUAAUCGCGGAUCAGCACGCCGCGGUGAAUACGUUCCCGGGCCUUGUACACACCGCCCGUCACACCACGAGAGUUUGUAACACCCGAAGUCGGUGAGGUAACCUUUGGAGCCAGCCGCCUAAGUGACGAUUU